AACCCUACCUCUUCCGCCCGCCUCCUGUCCUCCCGUCCUCGUAACUCUCCCGUCUCCCACGCCUUGAAGCCGCUGGAGAGUGGGCGCGCAGGGGUGGCGACGCUUCGCCCCUACGCGGUUGCCAGGGCGAUGACCUCCGACUUGGUGGCGCGGUGGCCCCUGGUGCCGUGGUGGUUGACCUCGGGGUGCAGUGGAGUUAUGCCGGCGGAGAUGGAGCAGCGGGGGCGGUGACCUCAGAUCUGAUGGCCUGGUGGUCAGGGGUGUCCUCGGCGGACCCAUUCUCGGGCGCGGACCCCCCUCCCGGUGCUCGUUUCCCCGCUUGCAGCCGCUUCCCCUCGCGAGCGGGCAUCGUGGUUGGCUGCAGCCCUGACCGGGAGCUGCAUCCAUGGGCGACGACCACCUGUCGUUGGGGCUUGAGGCCUCGAGCAGGUAGCGCUGGGGCUGAAGCUUCACGGUGGCACCUCGUCCCCCACUCUGACCGGUGAAUGCAGCAUCCUCCCCCCACGCAAGCGAGGCGGCGGCACCUCCAACCCCUGCAGAUCCAGUGAGGGAAGCCUCUCUGCGAGGGCAACACAUCGCCGUUGGAGAGGACCUCCAGUUCUGCUCCUUGUCGAAAGUUUCCUUUUAGUUCUUGCUGGGUUACAGAGCUAUUGAUCAGGGGAGGCAAUUCAAUUUCGAUUCUUAUAUGCAGGAGGAAGGGAGAGGCAGCCAACUGCAUGUAAGUUGCUGUAACUUCCUCUGCUUUUCUCACCCUCCAAAAGCUGCUUAUCACUAGUUGCUUCAUGAAAUGUAUGAUAUGGGACUACGUUGUGUUGCUGUGUUAUUCCAGAUUAAAUGCUGUUGAUUUGACUCCUAGCCUGUUCUACUCACCAAAGGAUGUGCCAAUUAUUAUUCCUCAAACCGACAGGAUUACAACUCCUUUCUCAGACCUUGUGCAAUAUUGGACUUUUUGCACAAACUGAAUCUUUCUACAAGUGUAAAAAUUCAUGCAGCUAACUUCAAGACAAUGCUGUAUUUAUUCUGUUGGGCCUUGAAGCUGCAGCAGGUAUGCUGUAUGCAAGCCCUGAACUUUGCAGAGGGUACUGCUUUCAAAACAAAAUUGGUAUGGAGGGUUUCCCAGUGAAGUGAAAAGGUUGAAAGCGAAAGGUCUCUUGCUUGGUGCGAUUUUGGACCUGUUUUCAGGGAGUUGACAUUUUUGCUGGGAGAAGCAAGGCAUACAGUGAACCCUUGGGAAACAUGAGUAUGCGAAGAGCCAAAGACCAGGUGGAGCUGGUUCUUAUUAAAGCUCCAAAACUGUGGUUAGCAAAGAAUGGCAAUUAGUUAUGAGAUGAUUGUGAUAUUUUGUUUGGUGAUAUUUGGACAUGUGAGGUCAAUAAUGUACGUGUCAAUAAUGUAUUUUGCUACCUGGGAUUUGGUCGUGAAUGUGGGUAUUUUGAUUUUUAGAUUCA